rfam:Schistosoma haematobium scaffold1315_16, whole genome shotgun sequence.
AUCCAGCUGACGAGUCCCAAAAACAGGAUGAAACGUGCGUCCUGGAU